rnacentral:lncRNA from 1 species
CUUGUUCACUCCUAAAAUAAAACAUAAAGAUAUGUGUCUGAUUCGAAUUUUUAUUUAUGUAUUUUCUCAAUAAGAAAAAUAACAUUUAAGUUGCACAGUGUUGGCUUAUAAAUUAGUUUGUUUUCUAAUGUAAAGUGGGUUCAGCAUGAUUAGGUAACAAAUAAAAUAUACCUAAUCAAGCCAUUUUAACCCACUACACAUAAGAAAAGAAAAAACAAAUUGUUAAGCCCAACAGUACGGGUUUCUUUGUUUUUCUCUGAUUAUUUAUUUCCAAAGUUGACUUUUUUCUCCUGAAAGUAAGAUUUCUGUGAGGUCAUUUUAAGUCCUCGGAAAUUGCGAGAAUGAAGGAUUUUGCACCAUUUACCCCAGAGCUUCAGGGGGCCUUGAUCGGCCCCCAGACCCCUGGCCGUAUGACUACCUUCUCCAGCAUUGCGUACACAUCAAAAUUGUCUAGCUACGCCC